UGCAGUCGCACUAGUGAUGGGCUAAACUGCGAUUUUCCGAUAUCAGUGAUUUCUGUGAAUGCUACUUUUCAGUGUCUGCUAUUCUUAACUGUGAUUUGUCGCAGUUAAGGAACGUAGGUCGCGUAUCCCUCUGUCACUGCUAUUUCUGGGAUUUCUGCUACUUCCGCAAUUUCUGUGACUUCUGCUACUUCUGCGAUUUUUGUGACUUCUGCUACUUCUGCGAUUUCUGCUACUUCUGCGAUUUCUGUGACUUCUGCUACUUCUGCGAUUUCAGUGACUUCUGCGAUUUCUGCGACUUACCACCGUAUGAAAAAGUUACAUCUGCCCACACAGAAAAUUGCAUCUCAACAAAUCUGUCAUUGGUACCCGAACUACAUUUCAGUCACUCAGUAAAUUGAUAACUCAAAAUAUCAUUGUCAACAGAUCUGGAGAAAUUGCCACUGCGUCUUUAGACCGUUUUCGUCAGACGAGAGACACAGUUCUGACUCUUGAUUACUGGUUGCUGUACGUAUCUAUCCACAUCAAGGCUAUUGAGAGAGACUCGUGAAGAUUCAAGACAGCUCUUAGAGGAUUUGCAGUUUAAAAGUGACAUAAUUGUGAAAUAAGUGUGGAGAUGAGUGAUUAAACUGUGUUUUAUUGAAGUUUUUAUGCGAUUUUAAAGGAAUAAUAAAUG